rnacentral:rRNA from 1 species
GCGAAGUAGCUGAUUUCACACUGUCAAGAAAAGUCUCUAUCGAGGUUAAAGGUACCCGUACCGCAAACCGACACAGGUGGGUGAGGAGAGUAUCCUAAGGCUAGCGAGAGAACUGUUGUUAAGGAACUCGGCAAAAUGACCCCGUAACUUAGGGAUAAGGGGUGCCACCAUCAGGUGGCCGCAGAGAAUAGGCCCAAGCGACUGUUUACCAAAAACAUAGGUUCUGCU